CGAGAACUAAGCUCGGAACUGCAUUAUAGAAAGUUUUGAGGUGCACUGGUGACAUACACACCAUAUCUAGGAGAGACGGUAGUCCCGACGCCUCUCAUAGUAUUAGUGAGGGAUCUCUAGAUUCUACUGUUAGGAGCCGAUGGCAGCCCGAACCGAGUAGUCCAAAAAGUGCAGAUAGUAAUAAUAUUAAUGUAAGCAUAAGAGGUUCCCUUUUGAGAAAAUCUAAGGAACAUGUUAAAGAAAGGGGGAAAUUAAGGAUAGCUGAAGGAGGUAUUCGUUCUAGGAAGAGCGUGACAGUAGUCCGACACUUUCCACCAGGCUGUGGGAGAAAUGUAAGGGGACAACCAGAAAAGGAUAAGGAGAAAGUAACAGUGGCAAGUAAACCUCUUAGAAAAGUGUCAGGUGUACGACAUUUUCCUCCCGGUUGUGGAAGAAAUGCUGCACCGGUGAGUGAUGAAGAAUAUAGGAGAAUACAACAAGCCUGGAUUGAAGAACAAAGGAGAAAAUCUCAGGAGGAAGAGGAUCCAUUGAUGUGCCCGGAUCAGGACAAUGAGGAACCUAAAGAUGUUUAAUACUUUAGUUGAAGUUGUAUUGUCAUAAAUCUAGGCAAGUGUCGUUUAAGGGAAGAUGUAGUAGUUACCUGUGUAAAGGAGUUAGGAGUGGCUUUUAUUUUGUAUGACUCGAACGGAAUGUAAAAUAGCAGUUUAAAUAAUUGGAUAUGUAUGGGAAUCUUUUAGUA